AUGAAAUUCUCCUUCAAAAGCUUGCAACACCCAAACGCCCCUUGGACGCAGUGGUAUCACCACCAAUACCCACUUGGCAUCGCAGCAAAAACAUCAAGGCCCUCUUUUCUUUGGAAAAUAAUUAACAAAAACCUACCUCUUCUAAUUGAGCACUCCUUUGUGAUCACCUACAAUGGCCUCUCCACCUUUUUCUGGCUAGAUAAAUGGCUUCUAGAGUCGCCUCUCCACAAAGUUUUCCCUCACCUCUACUCUCACUCCAUUGAUGACAAGGUUUUAGUGGCUAUAGUAUGGCAAACCAGCUUAUUAGCGAACCUUCGGAACCAUCUGUCUAAUGCUGCCGCUCGUGAGUUGGAUUGUGUGCUGUUGCUGUUGCAGGAUUUUCAACAGGUGGACCGAACCGAUGAGCGGUCCCUCACCCAUGGGCUUUCGUUCUCUGCCAAGAACGCCUACUCCACCAUUGUUGCUGACGAUUCCUUCGACCCACACCAUGAUUUUGUCUGGGCGUCCAAGGUUCCGAUCAAGGUCAAGAUCUUCGCAUGGCUUCUCCUCCGUGACCGGCUCAACACAAAAGCAAACAUGUUUCACAAACACAUUGCUCGAUCAGCAGCAUGCCCACGCUGUCAAGAUCCGUUUGAGGAUGCUCUCCUCCUCAUCUCCAACUGCUCUUAUGCGACACAAGUUUGGUCCUCCUUGGGCCUACUUGCCCCGACCUCCCUCGAUGAUCUCCACCAACACCCACAGAUUCAGGGCCUCAACCCCAACAUCUGGCCAUCGGUGGCUUUGACAAUCUGCUGGAAGCUAUGGGAUUCGAGAAACGCUAUCGUUUUCAGGAAUGAUGACCACUCUCUCCGAAUUACACUAAGAAAUAUUGUAGCAGAUUUCUCCCUCUGGGUUUUCCGUUUCAAAAAGCACGAAGACAAUAUCUCUGCUAGGCAAUGGCUAAACUUUCUAUCCGCAGCAAUCCCCCUCUAG
rnacentral:rRNA from 1 species